rnacentral:rRNA from 1 species
UACGAAGGGUGCAAGCGUUACUCGGAAUUACUGGGCGUAAAGCGUGCGUAGGUGGUUUGUUAAGUCUGAUGUGAAAGCCCCGGGCUCAACCUGGGAAUUGCAUUCGAGACUGAAUAGCUAGGGUGCGGUAGAGGGAAGCGGAAUUUCCGGUGUAGCGGUGAAAUGCGUAGAUAUCGGAAGGAACAUCAGUGGCGAAAGCGGCUUCCUGGACCAGCACCGACGUUCAGGCACGAAAGCGUGGGGAGCAAACAGG